ensembl:rRNA 5S_rRNA 5S ribosomal RNA
GCCUACAGCCAUAUCACCCUGCCCAAUCUCAUCUGACCUCGGAAGUUAAGCAGGGUCGGUCCUGGUUAGUACUCGGAUGGGAGGCCGCCUGGGAAUGCUGGGUGCUGUAGGGU